rnacentral:rRNA from 1 species
GAUGAACGCUGGCGGCGUGCUUAACACAUGCAAGUCGAACGGAAAGGCCUUGCUUUUGUGGGGUGCUCGAGUGGCGAACGGGUGAGUAACCCGUGAGUAACCUGCCAUUGACUUUGGGAUAAUUUCAGGAAACUGGGGCUAAUACCGGAUAGGAGCUCCUGCUGCCUGGUGGGGGUUGGAAUGUUUCGGCGGUUGGGGAUGGACUCGCGGCUUAUCAGCCUGUUGGUGGGGUAGUGGCUUACCAAGGCUUUGACGGGUAGCCGGCCUGAGCGGGUGACCGGCCACAUUGGGACGGAGGUGCGGCCCAGACGCCUACGGGAGGCAGCAGUGGGGAGUAUUGCACAAUGGGCGGAAGCCUGAUGCAGCAACGCCGCGUGCGGGAUGACGGCCUUCGGGUUGUAAACCGCUUUCGCCUGUGACGAAGCAUGAGUGACGGUAAUGGGUAAAGAAGCACCGGCUAACUACGUG